UUUGGUUAAGUUAGAAAGGGCGCACGGUGGAUGCCUUGACACUAGGAGUCGAUGAAGGACGGGACUAACGCCGAUAUGCUUCGGGGAGCUGUAAGUAAGCUUUGAUCCGAAGAUUUCCGAAUGGGGAAACCCACCAUACGUAAUGGUAUGGUAUCCUUAUCUGAAUACAUAGGGUAAGGAAGACAGACCCAGGGAACUGAAACAUCUAAGUACCUGGAGGAAGAGAAAGCAAAUGCGAUUUCCUGAGUAGCGGCGAGCGAAACGGAACAUAGCCCAAACCAAGAGGCUUGCCUCUUGGGGUUGUAGGACAUUCUAUACGGAGUUACAAAGGAACGAGGUAGACGAAGCGACCUGGAAAGGUCCGUCGUAGAGGGUAACAACCCCGUAGUCGAAACUUCGUUCUCUCUUGAAUGUAUCCUGAGUACGGCGGAACACGUGAAAUUCCGUCGGAAUCUGGGAGGACCAUCUCCCAAGGCUAAAUACUCCCUAGUGAUCGAUAGUGAACCAGUACCGUGAGGGAAAGGUGAAAAGCACCCCGGAAGGGGAGUGAAAGAGAUCCUGAAACCGUGUGCCUACAAAUAGUCAGAGCCCGUUAACGGGUGAUGGCGUGCCUUUUGUAGAAUGAACCGGCGAGUUACGAUCCCGUGCGAGGUUAAGCUGAAGAGGCGGAGCCGCAGCGAAAGCGAGUCUGAAUAGGGCGUUUAGUACGUGGUCGUAGACCCGAAACCAGGUGAUCUACCCAUGUCCAGGGUGAAGUUCAGGUAACACUGAAUGGAGGCCCGAACCCACGCACGUUGAAAAGUGCGGGGAUGAGGUGUGGGUAGCGGAGAAAUUCCAAUCGAACCUGGAGAUAGCUGGUUCUCCCCGAAAUAGCUUUAGGGCUAGCCUUAAGUGUAAGAGUCUUGGAGGUAGAGCACUGAUUGGACUAGGGGUCCUCAUCGGAUUACCGAAUUCAGUCAAACUCCGAAUGCCAAUGACUUAUCCUUAGGAGUCAGACUGCGAGUGAUAAGAUCCGUAGUCAAAAGGGAAACAGCCCAGACCGCCAGCUAAGGUCCCAAAGUGUGUAUUAAGUGGAAAAGGAUGUGGAGUUGCUUAGACAACUAGGAUGUUGGCUUAGAAGCAGCCACCAUUUAAAGAGUGCGUAAUAGCUCACUAGUCGAGUGACUCUGCGCCGAAAAUGUACCGGGGCUAAAUACACCACCGAAGCUGCGGAUUGAUACCAAUGGUAUCAGUGGUAGGGGAGCGUUCUAAGGACAGUGAAGUCAGACCGGAAGGACUGGUGGAGUGCUUAGAAGUGAGAAUGCCGGUAUGAGUAGCGAAAGACGGGUGAGAAUCCCGUCCACCGAAUGCCUAAGGUUUCCUGAGGAAGGCUCGUCCGCUCAGGGUUAGUCAGGACCUAAGCCGAGGCCGACAGGCGUAGGCGAUGGACAACAGGUUGAUAUUCCUGUACCACCUCUUUAUCGUUUGAGCAAUGGAGGGACGCAGAAGGAUAGAAGAAGCGUGCGAUUGGUUGUGCACGUCCAAGCAGUUAGGCUGAUAAGUAGGCAAAUCCGCUUAUCAUAAAGGCUGAGCUGUGAUGGGGAAGCUCCUUAUGGAGCGAAGUCUUUGAUUCCCCGCUGCCAAGAAAAGCUUCUAGCGAGAUAAAAGGUGCCUGUACCGCAAACCGACACAGGUAGGCGAGGAGAGAAUCCUAAGGUGUGCGAGAGAACUCUGGUUAAGGAACUCGGCAAAAUGACCCCGUAACUUCGGGAGAAGGGGUGCUUUCUUAACGGAAAGCCGCAGUGAAUAGGCCCAAGCGACUGUUUAGCAAAAACACAGCUCUCUGCGAAGCCGUAAGGCGAAGUAUAGGGGGUGACACCUGCCCGGUGCUGGAAGGUUAAGGAGAGGGGUUAGCGUAAGCGAAGCUCUGAACUGAAGCCCCAGUAAACGGCGGCCGUAACUAUAACGGUCCUAAGGUAGCGAAAUUCCUUGUCGGGUAAGUUCCGACCCGCACGAAAGGUGUAACGAUUUGGGCACUGUCUCAACCAGAGACUCGGUGAAAUUAUAGUACCUGUGAAGAUGCAGGUUACCCGCGACAGGACGGAAAGACCCCGUGGAGCUUUACUGUAGCCUGAUAUUGAAUUUUGGUACAGUUUGUACAGGAUAGGCGGGAGCCAUUGAAACCGGAGCGCUAGCUUCGGUGGAGGCGCUGGUGGGAUACCGCCCUGACUGUAUUGAAAUUCUAACCUACGGGUCUUAUCGACCCGGGAGACAUUGUCAGGUGGGCAGUUUGACUGGGGCGGUCGCCUCCUAAAGUGUAACGGAGGCGCCCAAAGGUUCCCUCAGAAUGGUUGGAAAUCAUUCGUAGAGUGCAAAGGCAUAAGGGAGCUUGACUGCGAGACCUACAAGUCGAGCAGGGACGAAAGUCGGGCUUAGUGAUCCGGUGGUUCCGCAUGGAAGGGCCAUCGCUCAACGGAUAAAAGCUACCCCGGGGAUAACAGGCUUAUCUCCCCCAAGAGUCCACAUCGACGGGGAGGUUUGGCACCUCGAUGUCGGCUCAUCGCAUCCUGGGGCUGUAGUCGGUCCCAAGGGUUGGGCUGUUCGCCCAUUAAAGCGGUACGCGAGCUGGGUUCAGAACGUCGUGAGACAGUUCGGUCCCUAUCCGUCGUGGGCGUAGGAAAUUUGAGAGGAGCUGUCCUUAGUACGAGAGGACCGGGAUGGACGCACCGCUGGUGUACCAGUUGUUCUGCCAAGGGCAUAGCUGGGUAGCUAUGUGCGGAAGGGAUAAGUGCUGAAAGCAUCUAAGCAUGAAGCCCCCCUCAAGAUGAGAUUUCCCAUAGCGUAAGCUAGUAAGAUCCCUGAAAGAUGAUCAGGUUGAUAGGUUCGAGGUGGAAGCAUGGUGACAUGUGGAGCUGACGAAUACUAAUAGAUCGAGGACUUAACCAUAUAA
rnacentral:rRNA from 1 species